rnacentral:rRNA from 1 species
UACAGAGGUCUCGAGCGUUAGGCGGAAUCACUGGGCUUAAAGCGUGUGUAGGUGGAUCGUUAAGUACCUUGUGAAAUCCCACGGCUUAACCGUGGAACUGCUUGGUAUACUGGCGGUCUUGAGCCACUUAGGGGCUACCGGAACAAAUGGUGGAGCGGGUGAAAUGCGUAGAUAUCAUUUGGAACGCCAAUGGUGAAAACAGGUAGCUGGGAGUGUGCUGACACUGAGACACGGAAAGCCAGGGGAGCAAACGGG